rnacentral:rRNA from 1 species
ACGGGAGGCAGCAGUGGGGAAUAUUGCACAAUGGGCGCAAGCCUGAUGCAGCGAUGCCGCGUGAGGGAAGAAGGUUUUCGGAUUGUAAACCUCUGUCAUCGGGGACGAUAAUGACUGUACCCGAGAAGGAAGCUCCGGCUAACUAUGUGCCAGCAGCCGCGGUAAUACAUAGGGAGCAAGCGUUAUCCGGAUUUACUGGGUGUAAAGGGUGCGUAGGCGGCAUGGCAAGUCAGUCGUUAAAGACCAGAGCUUAACUCUGGACCAGCGAUUGGAACUGUCAAGCUAGAGUACAGGAGAGGUUAGUGGAAUUACUAGUGUAGAGGUGGAAUUCGUAGAUAUUAGUAAGAACACCAAUGGCGAAGGCAGCUAACUGGCCUGAAACUGACGCUGAGGCACGAAAGUGUGGGGAGCAAACAGGAUUAGAUACCCUGGUA